rnacentral:rRNA from 1 species
AGUGAACGCUGGCGGUAGGCCUAACACAUGCAAGUCGAACGGCAGCACAGUAAGAGCUUGCUCUUACGGGUGGCGAGUGGCGGACGGGUGAGGAAUACAUCGGAAUCUACUUUUUCGUGGGGGUUAACGUAGGGAAACUUACGCUCAUACCGCAUACGACCUACGGGUGAAAGCAGGGGAUCUUCGGACCUUGCGCGAUUGAAUGAGCCGAUGUCGGAUUAGCUAGUUGGCGGGGUAAAGGCCCACCAAGGCGACGAUCCGUAGCUGGUCUGAGAGGAUGAUCAGCCACACUGGAACGGAGACACGGUCCAGACUCCUACGGGAGGCAGCAGUGGGGAAUAUUGGACAAUGGGCGCAAGCCUGAUCCAGCCAUACCGCGUGGGUGAAGAAGGCCUUCGGGUUGUAAAGCCCUUUUGUUGGGAAAGAAAAGCAGCAGGUUAAUACCCCGCUGUUCUGACGGUACCCAAAGAAUAAGCACCGGCUAACUUCGUG